rnacentral:other from 1 species
GCACCUCUGCGGUGUACGUGAGCGGCUGGGUAGUAUCCUUGAGCCUAAUUUCUCACCCCGGGAGCCUUGCUGAUGAUGUGGUUGUGCAUGUCCGCCCCGUAGCGGAAAGCCUCUAAGCAUCGCGCAGGCACCCACUUGAACCCCUGGUUCAAGGUCGAAAGCCGGCCACGGCAUAUGCGGAGUGUG